UACGGAGGGUGCAAGCGUUAAUCGGAAUUACUGGGCGUAAAGCGCACGUAGGUGGUUUGUUAAGCCAGCUGUGAAAUCCCCGGGCUCAACCUGGGAACUGCGUUUGUGACUGCACGGCUAGAGUACGGUAGAGGGGGGUGGAAUUCCUGGUGUAGCAGUGAAAUGCGUAGAUAUCAGGAGGAACAUCGAUGGCGAAGGCAGCCCCCUGGACCUGUACUGACGCUCAUGCACGAAAGCGUGGGGAGCAAACAGG
rnacentral:rRNA from 1 species